UACGGAGGAUCCGAGCGUUAUCCGGAUUUAUUGGGUUUAAAGGGUGCGCAGGCGGUAGAUUAAGUCGGCGGUGAAAUUUUGCAGCUCAACUGUAAAAGUGCCUUCGAAACUGGUUUCCUUGAGUGUAGAUGAAGUAGGCGGAAUUUGUGGUGUAGCGGUGAAAUGCAUAGAUAUUGGGAAGAACACCGGUGGCGAAGGCGACUUGCUGGGCAGCAACUGACGCUGAGGCGCGAAAGCCAGGGGAGCAAACGGGAUUAGAUACCCCGGUAGUCCCUGAG
rnacentral:rRNA from 1 species